rnacentral:rRNA from 1 species
GACGAACGCUGGCGGCGUGCUUAACACAUGCAAGUCGUACGGUAAGGCCCUUUCGGGGGUACACGAGUGGCGAACGGGUGAGUAACACGUGAGUAACCUGCCCACAACUUUGGGAUAACGCUAGGAAACUGGUGCUAAUACUGGAUAUGUGCUCCUGCUGCAUGGUGGGGGUUGGAAAGCUCCGGCGGUUGUGGAUGGACUCGCGGCCUAUCAGCUUGUUGGUGGGGUAGUGGCCUACCAAGGCGGCGACGGGUAGCCGGCCUGAGAGGGUGACCGGCCACAUUGGGACUGAGAUACGGACCAGACUCCUACGGGAGGCAGCAGUGGGGAAUAUUGCACAAUGGGCGCAAGCCUGAUGCAGCAACGCCGCGUGCGGGAUGACGGCCUUCGGGUUGUAAACCGCUUUCAGCAGGGACGAAGCUUUUUGUGACGGUACCUGCAGAAGAAGCACCGGCUAACUACGUG